GAAUGCUCAAGGACAAUGGCUUUCAAAAGGUUAAGCUUUUUGAUGCAGAUUCGGAUGCUUUGAAUGCUCUCAGUAAUACUGGGAUUCAGGUGAUGGUGGGCAUUCCUAAUGAUCUGCUCAAUACUCUGGCUAAUAGUAUGGCAGCUGCUGAGAAUUGGGUUGCCAAGAAUGGCUCCUCUUAUCUCCACCAAUGGUGUAGACAUCAGGUAUGUUGCAGUUGGAAAUGAACCAUUCUUGUCUACAUACAAUGGAAGCUUUUUAGGAACAACUCUUCCUGCUCUUCAAAAUAUCCAAGCGGCUCUGAUAAAAGCAGGAUUAAGCACUCUGGUGAAAGUCACUGUUCCUCUCAAUGCGGAUGUAUAUGAGACUUCAACAGAUCUGCCAUCUGGUGGUGACUUCCGAGCAGAUAUCCACGACCA
rnacentral:misc_RNA from 1 species